rnacentral:rRNA from 1 species
AUUAAUAAAGUUGUUUUUAUUAUAAAUUGUGUUUGGUAUAUUAAUUAAAUAAAUUUAUGUUAUUGUAAAAUUUAUUGAUAUAAUUUUAUUUACUAUAGUGAAAAGUACUGUGAUGGAAAUUUUAAAGAAGUAUAAUAUAAUAAAUUAAAGGUAAUUUGGUUUAUUGUAUCUUGUGUAUCAGAGUAUAUCAAAAUGAAUAAUAGAUUUUAUUUUUCUCGAAUUUUAAAGAUUUAAUAUAGUAAUUUAGUUAUUGUAUUAUAAAUAUUAAAAAUACUAUAUUGGUAAUGAGAUGUUAUUCGUUUUUAAGGAUAUCUAGUUUUUUAAUAAAUGAAUUUAAUUCAGGAAAUGUAAAUUAUUUAAUAUGUAAGUGUUAAAAUAUUUAAUAUUUCUAAUUUUAAAAGGGAUCAGCUUUUUAAAAAAUAAUUAUAAUAAAAUAUAAAUAAAAGGAUUUUAUGAAUUUAGAAUUUGUUAUUAAUUGGAGGAUGUCAAAAUUUAAUUCUUAUUUUUUGUUGAUUUUUAAUUGUUAUUUAAUUUAUAUAUUAAAAUAUUAAAUUGAAUUUGUAAGUUUUAGAAAUAAUGAUUUAAUUAGUAAAAAUAUUUAUGUUAAAUAAAUUAUUAUUAUUUUUGAUAAAUAAUUAUAAAGAAUUAGGCAAAUAUUUCGCUCACCUGUUUAUUAAAAACAUGGUUUCUUGAAUAUAUUUAAGAGAUCUAGUCUGCCCACUGAAUAAUUUAUUAUUUAAAGGGCCGCGGUAUUUUGACUGUGCGAAGGUAGCGUAAUCAUUAGUCUUUUAAUUGAAGGCUCGUAUGAAUGGCUGGAUGAGGUGAAUACUGUUUUAUAUUUAUUUUAAUUGAAUUUAGAUUUUAAGUAAAAAUACUUAAAUAAUAUUAAGGGACGAGAAGACCCUAUAGAGUUUAAUAAAUGUAGUAAUUAGUUAAGUUAAAAAAUUAAUUUAUAAUUAAUAUGAAAUUUAUUUAAUUGGGGAGAUUUAAAGAUAAGUAGAACUCUUUUUAAAUUUUAAUAUUAUAUUUAGUUUUAUGAUCCAUCAAUAAUGAUUAAAAGAUUAAAUUACCUUAGGGAUAACAGCAUAAUUUCUUUUAAGAGUUCAUAUCGAAAAGGAAGAUUGUGACCUCGAUGUUGGAUUAAGAUUAGUCUUCAGGGUGUAGAUGUUCAUAGACUGGGUCUGUUCGACCUUUAAAAUCUUACAUGAUCUGAGUUUAAACCGGCGUAAGCCAGGUUGGUUUCUAUCUUUAAUUUUAUUAAAUAUCUUAGUACGAGAGGACCAGAUAUUUAAAAUAAUUUUUUAAUAAUGAAUUUUAUUAAUAUUAA